CCUACGGGUGGCAGCAGUGAGGAAUAUUGGUCAAUGGACGAGAGUCUGAACCAGCCAAGUAGCGUGAAGGAUGACUGCCCUAUGGGUUGUAAACUUCUUUUAUAUGGGAAUAAAAUGUUCCACGUGUGGGAUUUUGUAUGUACCAUAUGAAUAAGGAUCGGCUAACUCCGUUCCAGCAGCCGCGGUAAUACGGAGGAUCCGAGCGUUAUCCGGAUUUAUUGGGUUUAAAGGGAGCGUAGGUGGAUUGUUAAGUCAGUUGUGAAAGUUUGCGGCUCAACCGUAAAAUUGCAGUUGAAACUGGCAGUCUUGAGUACAGUAGAGGUGGGCGGAAUGCGUGGUGUAGCGGUGAAAUGCUUAGAUAUCACGCAGAACUCCGAUUGCGAAGGCAGUUCACUGGACUGCAACUGACACUGAGGCUCGAAAGUGUGGGUAUCAAACAGGAUUAGAUACCCUAGUAGUC
rnacentral:rRNA from 1 species